GCUGCUAUAGCACAGUCGGUAGUGCGCAUCCUUGGUAAGGAUGAGGUCACCAGUUCGAUUCUGGUUAGCAGCUCUA
rnacentral:tRNA from 1 species